rnacentral:tRNA from 1 species
UCCCCAAUAUCUCAGCAGGUAAAGAAUCUGCCUGCAAUGCAGGAGACACAGGUUCAAUCCCCGGGUUGGGAA